UGGGGGAUAUUGCACAAUGGGGGGAACCCUGAUGCAGCGACGCCGCGUGGGUGAAAAAGCGCCUCGGCGCGUAAAGCCCUGUCAGCAGGGAAGAAAAUGACGGUACCUGAAGAAGAAGCCCCGGCUAACUACGUGCC
rnacentral:rRNA from 1 species